AGAGUUUGAUCAUGGCUCAGGAUGAACGCUAGCUACAGGCUUAACACAUGCAAGUCGAGGGGAAACGACAUCGAAAGCUUGCUUUUGAUGGGCGUCGACCGGCGCACGGGUGAGUAACGCGUAUCCAACCUGCCCACCACUUGGGGAUAACCUUGCGAAAGUAAGACUAAUACCCAAUGACGUCUCUAGAAGACAUCUGAAAGAGAUUAAAGAUUUAUCGGUGAUGGGUGGGGAUGCGUCUGAUUAGCUUGUUGGCGGGGUAACGCCACAGGCGACGAUCAGUAGGGGUUCUGGAGAGGAAGGUCCCCAGAUUGGAACUGAGACACGGUCCAAACUCCUGCGGGAGCA
rnacentral:rRNA from 1 species